GACAGGUGAGACAUGGACAGGUGAGAUCAGACAGGUGAGACAUGGACAGGUGUGACAUGGACAGGUGAGACAUGGACAGGUGUGACAUGGACAGGUGUAAUGGGACAGGUGUAAUGGGACAGGUGUGACCCAGGUGUCCCCAGCUGUCCCCAGCUGUCCCCAGGUGUGCCCAGCUGUACCCCAGGUGUGCCCAGGUGU